GCAUUAUAUAUUAUUUGGCCAAUUAUCAUGGUGUUAGUUAGCCUUGUAUAACCACACAUAGCAGAUGGGGAAUGUCUGUCCUAAAGUUGUCAGAUGUUUAGACGUAUAAUAUGUAUAUAUAUAUAUAUAUAUAUAUUGUUUAUGUAAUUUAUAUGUGUUUCUCGUUUCUCGUUUUUUAUAUAGAUUCAACCGUUGGUUUUCUCGUUUGAAUGGUUUUACACUAUUAAUUGUGGGGUCCUUUAUAGCUUUUUGUUCGGUGUGAGCCAAGGCUCCAAAUUGAAGGCUGUACAUUGACAUAUAAUGGUUUACUUUUAUAAAUUGUUAUUUGGAUGGAGAGUUGUCUCAUUGGCACUCAUACCACAUCUUCCUAUAUCUAUAUAUGUAUGUAUGUGCUCAUUAGAGAAACAACUUUAAACAGCAGAAAGGUUUACAUGUAUAGCUGAACUGCUUGACUGUAUAUUUCCUUCAGUAUAACUUAAGCUAUUGGUAAAUUGGCAUUUCAAUUGAUAUUUUGUAUUGGGUUUCUUUAUGUUGUAAUGUUACACUACUGUUUCAGGGUAAGUUGAAGGUUUUGUCUGGUUGAAUGUUUUAACCUGCUGCAUUUUAAUUCAUCUGUCCUAAGCCAAGAGCCUGUUUUCAGCUGUUGUCGUUCGUUGGUAUGGUUCAUAGGUGUUUUUGAUUUUUUAUACAGAUUAGACCUUUAUUUUUUCAGUUUGAAUUGUUUUACACUGGUCAUUAUGGGACCCUGUAUAGCUUGCUGUUUGGUGUUAGCCAAGAGUCUGUGUUGAAGGCCAUACUUUGAACUAUAAUUAUAACUUUUUGUACAUUGUGACUUGGAUGGAGAUUUGUCUAAUUGGCACUCAUACCACAUCUUAUAUACAUGUAAAAAACACAAAUUAAAUAUAAGAUACCAUAAAGAUCAUGCAGUUAAAAUUUGGUUGAAAUUGGUCAAAUGGUUUCAA
rnacentral:lncRNA from 1 species